UCGUUUUUAGUUGUUGCGGUUAAAAGCUCGUAGUUGGAUUUCGGGCGUGGAGGUUCGGUCCGCCGUUUCGGUGUGCACUGUCUUUCUGCGUCUUUCUGUCGGGGACGCGCUUCUGGCCUUAAUUGGCUGGGACGUGGAUUCGACGAGGUUACUUUGAAAAAAUUAGAGUGUUCAAAGCAAGCUAAAGCUCUGAAUACAUUAGCAUGGAAUAACGCGAGAGGACUCGGUCCUUAUUUUGUUGGUCUUCAAGGAUGGAGUAAUGAUUAAGAGGGACAGUUGGGGGCAUUCGUAUUUCAUUGCUAGAGGUGAAAUUCUUGGAUUUAUGAAAGACGAACUUCUGCGAAAGCAUUUGCCAAGGAUGUUUUCAUUGAUCAAGAACGAAAGUUGGGGGCUCGAAGAUGAUCAGAUACCAUCCUAGUCUCAACCAUAAACGAUGCCGACUAGGGAUUGGCAGGUGUUACAUCGAUGACUCUGCCAGCACCUUAUGAGAAAUCAAAGUUUUUGGGUUCCGGGGGGAGUAUGGUCGCAAGGCUGAAACUUAAAGGAAUUGACGGAAGGGCACCACCAGGAGUGGAGCCUGCGGCUUAAUUUGACUCACACGGGGAAACUUACCAGGUCCAGACAUAGUAGGAUUGACAGAUUGAGAGCUCUUUCUUGAUUCUAUGGGGGG
rnacentral:rRNA from 1 species